AUUGAACGCUGGCGGCAUGCUUUACACAUGCAAGUCGAACGGCAGCGCGGGCUUCGGCCUGGCGGCGAGUGGCGAACGGGUGAGUAAUGCAUCGGAACGUGCCCAGCAGUGGGGGAUAGCCCGGCGAAAGCCGGAUUAAUACCGCAUACGACCUGAGGGUGAAAGCGGGGGACCGAAAGGCCUCGCGCUAGUGGAGCGGCCGACGUCGGAUUAGCUAGUUGGUGGGGUAAAGGCUUACCAAGGCGACGAUCGGUAGCUGGUCUGAGAGGACGACCAGCCACACUGGGACUUGGACACGGCCCAGGCUCCUGCGGGAGGCAGCAGUGGGGAAUUUUGGGCAGUGGUGGCAACCCUGAUCCAGCCAUGCCGCGUGCGGGAAGAAGGCCUUCGGGUUGUAAACCGCUUUUGUUCGGGAAGAAAUGCUCUGGGCUAAUACCCCGGGGGGAUGACGGUACCGGAAGAAUAAGCACCGGCUAACUACGUG
rnacentral:rRNA from 1 species